ACAUCUUUAGCUGAAUUGGUAAAAGUGUUUACCUUCGAAGCAAUUGUAUAUUGGUUCAGAUCCUGUAGGAUGUA